rnacentral:rRNA from 1 species
AACGCUGGCGGCGUGCCUAACACAUGCAAGUCGAACGGACUAAAUGAAGCCUAGCGAUUUUAGUAGUGGCGGACGGGUGAGUAACGCGUGGGUAACCUGCCUCACGACUGGGGGAUAACAGUUAGAAAUGACUGCUAAUACCGCAUAAGCGCACAGUGCCGCAUGGUACAGUGUGAAAAACUCCGGUGGUGUGAGAUGGACCCGCGUCUGAUUAGCUAGUUGGUAGGGUAACGGCCUACCAAGGCGACGAUCAGUAGCCGGCCUGAGAGGGUGAACGGCCACAUUGGGACUGAGACACGGCCCAAACUCCUACGGGAGGCAGCAGUGGGGAAUAUUGCACAAUGGGGGAAACCCUGAUGCAGCGACGCCGCGUGAACGAUGAAGUAUUUCGGUAUGUAAAGUUCUAUCAGCAGGGAAGAUAAUGACGGUACCUGACUAAGAAGCACCGGCUAAAUACGUG